GGGGAUUUGGCUCAGUGGUAGAGCGCUUGCCUAGGAAGCGCAAGGUCCUAGGUUCAGUCCCCA
rnacentral:tRNA from 1 species